CUUUGGGUCUUUCCUCUGCCCUGGCCCAGAAAACAUUAUUUCCUUCCAGAAUUUGGUUCACUUUUUUUUUUUUUACCAAAGAACUUUUCUCUUAAAAAAAAAAAGAGUCAAAAGCCCAGAUUGCUGGGAAAAUCUAAACUUUCCUUAAUUGUACCACAGCCAUUGUUAUCACUUGAUGAUAGAAUCAAAAAUAGCACAGUUAUUUAUAGUAUAAAAACCUCAGUGUGCUUGGACUGUUCCAACCAGCUACUUCCCCCAGUGGCAUCAUAAAGUUGUGUUUCCUCCUGGAUCCUCCAAAUACCUGAGGGCAGUGUGUUCCAGAGAGGAUGAGAAACUUGACCUCAAACCAGAGAGUCUGUGUUUAGGAUCUUUGUUCUAUUUGAGUCUUGAGAUUAACCUCCUUGCAUUGCUGGUUCUAGGAGGAUAGAGCAGCUCUGCGCACUGUCACUGUUCAAGAUAAAAUUGGACCUAACGAAGUCCCAAUUCUAGCUAUAAAAAGCUGACAGCAAGCGCUGUUUGUAUGUGGUUAACCAUUAAUUUUCAUAAUGUCACUUUGCGUUGCUAUUUGGGGUGCUGUAAUUAAUACCAUUCGGGUAUAUAUCAGUUUUAACUCAUAUUUCACUCCAAGCGAAAUCUUGGCAGCCAGGGUAGGGUAUAAAAAUAAGCAAAGGGCUAGACUAUUUUUAGAGUGCCAAGGAGUUCUGAAUUAAAUUCCGGAAUGAUUAUUGAAACGACGUGGGCAGCAGUCAAGCCCACCAGAUCAUAAGGUCCUCAGGAAGGCAUAGCCCACAGAGAGGAAGGCACUGGGAGGCCAGCACUGGUGAACUGACCCGGGAUGACAGCAGGUGGGCUGGACUUGGCUGCCAGUGAUACACUGUCACGGCCUCUCAGGAUAAGCCUGGAGCGGGUCUCUGAAAAGCCCUUGUUACCCAAAGAAUUGGCGUGAGGGGUGAGAGGGAGCGUGAACAUUAAGUAAUGAGUAAUUUUCCGCAUUGACUGUGUCUUUUUAGAUGCGAGGAAUUGGAACAUGGGGAGGUUAAACGAAUUAGCGAGGUCACACAGGUGUGGAGGCAAAAGGCUACGAUGGAAAAAUAGGAAGCAGUAGACACCCAAAGAAUAUUAUUAAUGGACUGAUUCCACAGGGAAUGAAUCCUGAAAGUUCUGGAAACACUGACCAGGACUCUGACAGCAAAAGCUCAGCCUCGUGGGUCAGUCUGAGGUUAAGGUAGGUGCUAUGGACGGCCCAGGGUCCAACUGAAUACGGAUCCUCUUUGGGGGGACCCAGUGUAGGCACAAAAGAGGUGUCUGUCUGCUUGGCUUUGUCCCAGCAAUCCUUUCUACUCUGCAGAUGCGCCAAAACGAAACCAAAGUGAGGAGAGAGAGCGAGAAAGAAUCGCUCACCCGGCCCUUAGCAUCUGGCCAGUUGCAUUCAUGCGGGAUUUCUGAUGUGCCUGCCUGUCAUUCUCACCCGAUCCCUGUGCCCUGGAUGUGGCAUAAGCGAAAAUGGAGUACAGUGAGGGAGCAGAUUUUCAUUUAUUAAACCUGAGCACUCUUCAAAAGAAAAUCCUUUGUAUCCGUGGCAAAAUAAGUCUUACCUAAGGAAGAGCUAAGCUUCAUGUUUCUCUUGGCCAGAUGGAUUUUAUGUAGCGUCUGUGGGUAAUUCUCCUGGUAGAUAUCCACCCUUCCAUCUGGAUGAAGCUUAAUUAUUACCAAACCCAGUUACCCAACGGCACAGAGACAAAGAGGAGAGGGGGGAGAAAGGGACUCGUUCAUAUCAAACAUUUCUAAGGUCAAUUUUGUCAUUAGUGAUCUGCUCGAGCGGCAAAUAAAACGAGACUCAAGCCAAGUGGGGUAAGUGGGGAAAAGUCUUGAAACUAAAUACAAAAUUAUGUAUUUUUUCAAAGGACAGUGUGUUACCUUUGAAGCUGGUGGUGCCUCUAGUUGAAACUGUAGCAUCUUCAUGCUUGUCCAGACUUCAUAAGGCUCAUUUCCUGAAAAGUGUACAGAAAUGUAUUUACUUUUAAAAUGGGCACAAGUUUUAUCUUCUUAAUUUUGUUCUAGGUCAAAGAUAUGUUUCAAAACAUCUAAGAUAUGCCUAUCCACGGAACAGGUUUGUUUUACAUACACACACACACACACACACACACACACACACAGAGCCUUCAUUUACUGCAUCUGAUCAGCCUUGAGCACUGCCGUUUGGGGAUGGACAAUUCUCUGACCUGGGUGCCAUCCUGAGCGUCAAAGGAUGCUGAUCAGCACCUCUUCCUCCACCCACUCCCUGCCAGUACCGUCCUCCAGGUGCGACACCUGAGCAUGCCUCUGCGCAGCAAAAGCAGCCCUGGUUCGGCACCCCUGCUCCAGCCAAUGUCCAAACCAAGGUCCAUAACAAAGGACCGUCUAGAGGAAAACUCGCUCUGGUCCCAGGGAAGCGGAAGGCGCAAGGAGGCCCAGCUGUGUCCCAUGUCCCCGGCUGAUGGCAGAGGGACACCUGCAGCCCCUCACUCAGACUUCUGGCCCCUGGCUUCACCCACUGCAUUAUUACGACAACCAUUCUGGACCGAGUCUCUCCCCGUUUCCUCGCCUUCCCAGUCUCAGAAAUAAAUCUCCAGGAGGGAUGUCCAGUCUGCUGAGAUACAACGUGGUGGAAGAUAGCAUAAGAAAGGGAGUGUGUGUGUGUGUGUGUGUGUGUGAGAGAGACAGAGAGAGAGACUGGGCACUGUGCUGGAUUAGAAAGUAGCGCUACACUGUAAGUCAAUUAUAUUUUAGGUAAAUAAAUAAAUAAAUAUGCAGCAAACAUCAACAUUACAAAAGGAAAUGUUUUAAGGUGAAAUCAAAAUAAAUAAAUAGUAAAAAGGGAGUUCCCGUCGUGGCGCAGCGGAAACAAAUCUGACUAUAUCCAUGAGGGCACAGGUUGGAUUCCUGGCACCACUCAGAGGGUUAAGGAUCCAGUGUUGCUGUGAGCUGUGGUGUAGGCCGGGAGCUGCAGAUCUGAUUCGACCCCCAGCCUGGGAACUUCCAUAUGCCAUGAGUGUGGCCCUAAAAAGAAAAAAAAAAAAAAA
rnacentral:lncRNA from 1 species